rnacentral:rRNA from 1 species
CAUCAGGUAACAUCAAAUCGUACCCCAAACCGACACAGGUGGUCAGGUAGAGAAUACCAAGGCGCUUGAGAGAACUCGGGUGAAGGAACUAGGCAAAAUGGUGCCGUAACUUCGGGAGAAGGCACGCUGAUAUGUAGGUGAAGUCCCUCGCGGAUGGAGCUGAAAUCAGUCGAAGAUACCAGCUGGCUGCAACUGUUUAUUAAAAACACAGCACUGUGCAAACACGAAAGUGGACGUAUACGGUGUGACGCCUGCCCGGUGCCGGAAGGUUAAUUGAUGGGGUCAGCGCAAGCGAAGCUCUUGAUCGAAGCCCCGGUAAACGGCGGCCGUAACUAUAACGGUCCUAAGGUAGCGAAAUUCCUUGUCGGGUAAGUUCCGACCUGCACGAAUGGCGUAAUGAUGGCCAGGCUGUCUCCACCCGAGACUCAGUGAAAUUGAACUCGCUGUGAAGAUGCAGUGUACCCGCGGCAAGACGGAAAGACCCCGUGAACCUUUACUAUAGCUUGACACUGAACAUUGAGCCUUGAUGUGUAGGAUAGGUGGGAGGCUUUGAAGUGUGGACGCCAGUCUGCAUGGAGCCGACCUUGAAAUACCACCCUUUAAUGUUUGAUGUUCUAACGUGGACCCGUGAUCCGGGUUGCGGACAGUGUCUGGUGGGUAGUUUGACUGGGGCGGUCUCCUCCUAAAGAGUAACGGAGGAGCACGAAGGUUGGCUAAUCCUGGUCGGACAUCAGGAGGUUAGUGCAAUGGCAUAAGCCAGCUUGACUGCGAGCGUGACGGCGCGAGCAGGUGCGAAAGCAGGUCAUAGUGAUCCGGUGGUUCUGAAUGGAAGGGCCAUCGCUCAACGGAUAAAAGGUACUCCGGGGAUAACAGGCUGAUACCGCCCAAGAGUUCAUAUCGACGGCGGUGUUUGGCACCUCGAUGUCGGCUCAUCACAUCCUGGGGCUGAAGUAGGUCCCAAGGGUAUGGCUGUUCGCCAUUUAAAGUGGUACGCGAGCUGGGUUUAGAACGUCGUGAGACAGUUCGGUCCCUAUCUGCCGUGGGCGCUGGAGAACUGAGGGGGGCUGCUCCUAGUACGAGAGGACCGGAGUGGACGCAUCACUGGUGUUCGGGUUGUCAUGCCAAUGGCACUGCCCGGUAGCUAAAUGCGGAAGAGAUAAGUGCUGAAAGCAUCUAAGCACGAAACUUGCCCCGAGAUGAGUUCUCCCUGACCCUUUAAGGGUCCUGAAGGAACGUUGAAGACGACGACGUUGAUAGGCCGGGUGUGUAAGCGCAGCGAUGCGUUGAGCUAACCGGUACUAAUGAACCGUGAGGCUUAACC